GUAGAGUUUGAUCCUGGCUCAGGAUGAACGCUGGCGGCGUGCUUAACACAUGCAAGUCGAACGGAGAACCCCUGAUAGAGGAUUCGUCCAAUUGAAGGGAAUUCUUAGUGGCGGACGGGUGAGUAACGCGUGAGGAACCUGCCUUGGAGUGGGGAAUAACAGUCCGAAAGGACUGCUAAUACCGCAUAAUGCAGCUGGGUCGCAUGACUCUGGCUGCCAAAGAUUUAUCGCUCUGAGAUGGCCUCGCGUCUGAUUAGCUAGUAGGCGGGGUAACGGCCCACCUAGGCGACGAUCAGUAGCCGGACUGAGAGGUUGACCGGCCACAUUGGGACUGAGACACGGCCCAGACUCCUACGGGAGGCAGCAGUGGGGAAUAUUGGGCAAUGGGCGCAAGCCUGACCCAGCAACGCCGCGUGAAGGAAGAAGGCCCUCGGGUUGUAAACUUCUUUUGACAGGGACGAAGAAAAUGACGGUACCUGUCGAAUAAGCCACGGCUAACUACGUGCC
rnacentral:rRNA from 1 species